rnacentral:rRNA from 1 species
UUGCCAGACUCCUACGGGAGGCAGCAGUGGGGAAUCUUCCGCAAUGGGCGAAAGCCUGACGGAGCAACGCCGCGUGAUCGAAUGAAGGCCUUCGGGUUGUAAAGAUCUGUUGACAGGGACGAAUAAGCAAUGCGAAUAGUUUUGUGUAUGACGGUACCUGUUUAGAAAGCUCCGGCUAACUACGUGCCAGCAGCCGCGGUAAUACGUAGGGAGCAAGCGUUAUCCGGAUUUACUGGGUGUAAAGGGAGCGUAGACGGCAUGGCAAGUCAGAUGUGAAAGCCCGGGGCUCAACCCCGGGACUGCAUUUGAAACUGUCAGGCUGGAGUGCAGGAGAGGUAAGUGGAAUUCCUAGUGUAGCGGUGAAAUGCGUAGAUAUUAGGAGGAACACCAGUGGCGAAGGCGGCUUACUGGACUGUAACUGACGUUGAGGCUCGAAAGCGUGGGGAGCAAACAGGAUUAGAUACC